GCUGCUCUGCACUUAACUGGAGGGAGGGCAGUGACAAGCUGGGAUCUCCUAGCCCACACUGCAGCUCCUGCUCAGUGCUGAGGGGAGGUGGGAGCUGAGCAGCACUGGGACUGGGGUGGGGAAAAAGAGAAGUGGGUACCCCAGGCUGCUGCAGGGGAGUGCAUUAAUUGCAAGUUUAGACGUAUCCACUGAGCAGUAAAAUUUGAGAAACUGUACAGAAUCUGCAUACAGAAAAUGGGAAGAAGUGGGAACAUGUGCCACAGGUUGGGUACCCCUGCUCUAAGGGGUGUGUACUUGUUUUUAUGAAAUAUUACUUUCACAGAAAGGAAAAGUUGCACAAAUACUUUGAAAUCAGAAAACAUAGUACCAGGUUCUACAGGAUGCUCUGUUUAAGCUGCUACAGUGUACUUUUCUAGUGGGAUCCAGAGGAACUGAACCCUAAAUCAUGUAAACUCAGAAGUUUUACUAUUAAAGGAAUGGCACUCCUCACAUGGGUACAUUUUAUACUGGGAUAAUCACAUGUACAACUAGUUUAACUGCUCUUGUACCUAGGGGCUUUAUCCAUACAAAAAUGUGGUUUGGGGUGGGGGUAGGGGGGGCAGGGUUAUCACAUGCCUAAACAGCAGCUAUAUUGGUUUAAAAAAAAAAGUUUUGUAUUUUCAGCUUAGAGGUAAUAGGGUGUUCCUCCAGAAGAUGCCCAUAAAAUCCUUACCCACUGUUGGGACUCCCAACGCAGUGCACCAGCACUCUACCACUGCAUGCUUAUAUAUACACAACUUGGAGCAUUAGUGACCUCUGCUUUCCACUUCCACAUCUGGAGGCAGCUCAGCCAAGGACUAACUUGGGUUUCAUUACAAUGCAAAAUCUUAGGACUAAUACAGCCCAAAAGUUCACUUUUUAAAAGAUCCAACAGAAAAACUUGUAAUCUAAUAACCUGUUCAAUACUGCAUUUCAAAUUAUGGGUCACCUUAUUUGUGACUAAUGAAAAUCAGCCUCUUUUUUUU